ACCAGGUCUUCAUAGUCAUCACCAGGUCUUCAUAGUCAUCACCAGGUCUUCAUAGUCAUCACCUAUACCAGGUCUUCCUAGUCAUCACCUAUACCAGGUCUUCAUAGUCAUCACCUAUACCAGGUCUUCCUAGUCAUCACCAGGUCUUCAU